ensembl:lncRNA
GGAGGGGGGGAGGGGGAGGAGGGGGAGGGGCUGACCUCAAAAGCACCAGGGAAUGUGUAGCUGACAGAAAAGCAUGAAAUAUGGAGAGAUGAGAGAGGAGAGAGAGAGAGAGAGAGGAGGAGGGCUGGACAUGAGACUGGCGGUUAGGGAGUGAGGAGGAGAGCGAGAUGGGGCGGGAGAGAGACAUGGACGGAGAGAGAUAAGGAGAGAAGGAUGGAGAGAGAGGGGUGAGGACGGCGGGAUGGAGAGAAAGUGACGAUGGAGGAGAGUAAUGUGGAGAGUGAUGUGGAGGAGAGUGAGGUGGUGGAGAGUGAUGUGGAGGAGAGUGAGGUGGUGGAGAGUGAGUUGGAGGAGAGUGAUGUGGAGGAGAGUGAGGUGGUGGAGAGUGAGGUGGUGGAGAGUGAGGUGGAGGAGAGUGAGGUGGUGGAGAGUGAGGUGGUGGAGAGUGAGGUGGCUGGUCGUUGGUCUGCUCCAUCAG